GCAUCCGUAGCUCAGCUGGAUAGAGUACUCGGCUACGAACCGAGCGGAAGGGCGAGCCGCAAGGCGAGUAAUCCUCCCGGAUGCACCA
rnacentral:tRNA from 1 species